GCAUUAACACUAAAUUACCGUAUAAUGAUGUUAAAUAAAAUUUUACAAAAAAAGUAACUAUCUAUGUACAAUAUUAUUAAUAUUAAUGAUCUCGCAUGUGUGUAAAUGAAACAGUGAGAGAAGUGGUGUGUUGGCAAUGAUUAGAACGAAAUAGUUCCAUAGCCAAAAUAUAUAUUUUUUGACUUUCCGCGUGUAUUUAAGAAUUUGUUUGGGUAUUUGUUAAGUUUGAACAUUUUUUUAAAUCUCUGGUGAAAUAAAAACGUUAUGUUAACGGUAAAAAAAUAUUACGUGCCGAAACCGUGGUCGCGCAUUAAUAAUGUUAAUAGUCACUUGUUUGUUUUCUCUUUCAGCCGUUUGUCUGCAGUCUGCAGUCUGUACGCCAUAUUGCAGUGUGUUUUAAUAUAUUACUGACCGUGAAAUAACGUACAGUUUGUGUUUCAGGAUUUUGUGUUAAUAUUGUGUAUUUUAACUUUGUUAUAUUAUUUAUUAUCUACUAUUGUAAUGAUGGAAUUUGUUAUCGUUUUGAUAUUUUGUGUGGUUCUUGUGAUUGCUGUAAUGGUAAUUGGUUCCGGGAUGGGGAAAGCUACUUCGUCGCAGCGUCAGAUGGACAUCAUUAACGUCGCUCAGAACUUAUAUGUUUUAAUUAGAAAAGGCGACUUGAAGAAAUGUGACGUUACGCAGACGACCGCGUUUCUUCUCAACAUCGCAAAGUCAACUGUUCUCAAGUACUACAAGAAAGACAUUGAAGAAGUUUCAACACCAGGAAAAAAGAGGAAAAAAAGGCCACAGGAAGGAAAGUCACUUGACACAGUCGACAAUUUCACAGUAAAUGCAAUCAGGAAUGCAAUUUACAGGAUGUACGCUGAAGGUUUGAAUGUUACAGUCGACACCAUUUUGAAAGAAAUCAGGGAAAGACAAAUAGAUUAUUAUGGUGGAAGAUCGAGUCUUCAUAAAUUGUUAAAGAAGAUGGGAUUUUCAUGGACAACUGUUGAUGGACGAAAAGCUUUGAUAGAGAAUGAAAACAUAGAAUUGCAGCGAAUAGAUUUCUUGAGAAAGUAUAAAGAAGAAAAAGAAAGAGGUGCCAAUUUCAUAUUUGUUGAUGAAACAUGGAUUUUCCAGAGAGGCAAGGCAUUAAUUUAUUUGAAAAUUUGUUCUGUGGUCCAAUACAAAGUAUUUCAUUUCCAUUUCAUAUAUUUUUCAGGAACUGUAUCAAAGUCAUGGCAGGACAAGAGUCUACAAUCUGCGAAGAGACGUACUGUUGGAGAUGGUAAAAGGUUUAUUGUUGUUAAUGCUGGAGGGCGCACUGGCUUUGUGCCAGGAGCAGGAUUACUUUUUGUUUCAGGUCAGAAGACUGCAGACUACCAUGGCGAGAUGAAUGGGGAAACUUUCUUGAUGUGGUUUGAAGACAUGUUGGUGCAUCUUGAGGAACCCAGUGUCAUCAUAAUGGACAAUGCUUCAUAUCACAGCACCCAGGUUGAGAAAACACCUACAACGAACUGGACCAAGGCUGCACUGAUCGCGUGGCUGGAGAAGAAUGGGAUAAAACAUGAAAAUAAUUUGUUGAAAGUGGAGCUGCUGAGAAUAGCUAAACAAAACAAGCCCCGAAUACGGUAUAUUAUUUCGUUUUUUUCACAGCAUUUCUUUAAAAGUGAGAUAGUUGCAAAAAAUUACGUAUACACCUUGUUCUAACACACUUUUCAGAUAUGAGGUAGACGAGUUGGCUCGUAACUAUGGCCACGAAAUUCUACGACUCCCACCCUAUCACUGCCACUAUAAUGCAAUCGAACUAGUUUGGGCUCAAUGUAAACACCAUUACAAUAGUAACGUGGGGCGGGCCAAGAGAUUUGACAAUGAUGCAGUUGCAGCCAUCUGGAAAGAGGCUCUUGAUGCUUCCACACCAGAGAGAUGGGCGAGGUGUGUGGAUCACGUGGAGAAGCUAAUUCAAGCAGACUGGGAGAGAGAAGUCCACAUAGACAGCGGCACCAUUCCUCCACUCAUCAUCCACCUCGGCGAGGAUAGUUCAAGUGAAGACAGUGACAGCGAAGAAUUUGAGGUUACGACACAGCAAGUAGAUGGAGACAGUGAAGUACUGGCAGUUCCUCUUGAUGAUUUACCCGGGUGUUCUUAUUGAGGUCUGUAUGUAAUAAACACCUGGGCAACUGUAAGUAUUGGGGUUUGAAACAUUUUUUUUUUCUUUUAUGCAUUCCCAUUAAGUAUGUUGAUUACUGGAACUUUAUGUAUUAACUUUAUAUUACACGUAUUAUGAAAUUAAUAAUAAAUUUCAUUUCUGGAUUCGUAUAGGUGUAUGUGAAACAUUUUAUUUUGUUGUGUGUCUUCAUUUUUCAGUGAACUUACUUGGAAAACAAAAAGCCAGUCCCCAUCCAGGGCCACAAAUAAAUAAUGCAUAUAAGUGGUAUAGAAAUUACUGUCAAUUCUUCACCACAAUUUUACUGUUCAUAAAAUUAUGAUUUUGUCUAAUAAGUAUACUCAGGAAAAUGUAUAUAACCAUAUUUUUAUUUGUGGCCUUAACCGGCAAAAUGGUAGGGGUUUAUUAAAUAAAAGAAGAAAAUUCAUUUUUAAAUGUUUUCAUCUGAAUUUGUUAAUUUUAUUAAACCUUCAAUCCUUAGUCUUUUCCAGAUUGCUUAGAUGGACAGCCAUAUGUAUAAUUUACAAUACUUUUUUUUUCAGAUGCAGAAAACUGUGUUGAACUGUACUAAAUGAUGAUAUUUAUUGCUUACAUAAAUGUUGUAAAUUUAUAUAUUCUCCUAAAAAUUUACUUUAAAUUAUAUGUUAUUUCUUUAGCUAAACAAACUUAUUUUUUUAA